rnacentral:lncRNA from 1 species
AUUGAGUAAUCUGAAAAAAAUAUAUACGCAUUCAAAGAAGGCCUACAUGUCUUUUUUGAGAAAGAGGUAGCUUGCUACCUGCUUCAUUCAUUAAGCGGAAUGAACUAAGCUUAUAUAAUGAAAGCAGCUGAGGCCUCCUACAAAAGACGGAAAAGAAAAACCACGGAAACCAAAUAAGAGAAACCCAAAAAUAAACAACAAAAAAUCCAAAAAUAAACUUAAAAAACUAAAAAAACAGCGGAGGGAGGGAUAGAGAUCGUCCAAUUCACGUAACUUCAGUCCAGUCCUUCGUUAAUGUCCUGACGCGAUUCACAGCCCGUCUUACGUUGGGAAGCAUUCCACGAAAAAUUGUAUUAUUGCGUUCAGUUCAUAUGACCCACUAGAUUGCCGCCAAGCGGGUUAGACUCUUGGAUCUUGUCGCAACAUUGGGGAUGCUAGAUGUUUCUAUC